UUCCCACCACGCGAGAGCUUUUCGUACAUCCCCCCACCAGUCGGCUCCGACGGAGAAGCUAUUAAGCGACGCUCGGCCACUUCUCCCGGCAAAGUCUAGCUGACGGUUUAACGCGCAACACUUCGAGCUUGCGGAGCUUUCGCUGCUAGUAGAACACGUUCUGAGGCAGAGACAUUAAACGGUGUCGCGAGUUUCUUUUUCGAUAGAGAAAGAGGUGUGAGAUAGGUUGUAAACGAGUUCAAAAUGGAAGUUGCUAAGGUAAACGACAACGCCCAGAGCCUGGUCGAGCAGUUGUCGGACUCGGCCAACAUCACGGCGCUCUCGCAGUCGGUGAAGACUUCCUCGAAGACGCAGAGCGUGCAGAGCAAGUCGGUCAUCGAGUCGUCGCAAUCCAUCAAAACCGUCACCUCCAGCUCGAUGAGAUCGCACAAGUCGGUGGAAGUCGAGGAGGAGAUCGAGUACGAGGAAUAGAGCUUGGGAAUCGGAGCCUCGAUCUGUGCGGGAAGUGAGAAGAGCUUUACUCGAAUUCACUUGACCUGCGCCGCCGCUCGUCUUACCGCAAAAUCUUUUUUCGGCGAAUCUGGGACGGCUGGGGAAUUUUGGGAAAAAAUUAGCUCCCGAACCGAUGUCGAGCUUUGGUUUCUCUUGUUUCUCAAUAAGCUUUCCGUCAUAUUGACUCGAAAAAUAUUGUCGACGGACUAGUGAUACCGUCAAACGUGUUUAGCUAGGGCAAAUAAAAUCUGUUAUUUAUUUUGAUAUGCAUAUCAACAACGGCAACAAAAUUCUCAACGAAAUCUCGAGAGACAGCAAAACGAUGUGCGAAAGCGUGCGAAAAGGAGAACACGGAAUGUUAGGCUCUCUGGAUCGAUCGCUAUCUGGACGUUUUCCAAGCGACGACCGAGCGAGAGAGGCACGCGCGAAUAAUAAUUCCUUUUGUCCCGGUAUUUAUCACCCACAGCUGCACUGCUUACAUUGUUUGAUUUUCGACGACAACUAUUAUCGCCAACAGCUUUUUUUCAACUUUUUCGGCUCGUUUAAUUAGGACAGCUGUUGUUCGCACGUUCCCGCGGUUUACACGGCUGCUGAGCACUGACUUGUGUAUUUCGAGGUCUUCGUUGCGAGGGGCUGACUUUAUUAUUAGACUUUUAGCUCUUUAGUGUUAUACACGCUUCUUCUCCUUUGUUCGGGAAAAAUGCGCGCGGAUCAAUGUAUAGGCAAAUAUUUGGGCUUGAGAUAACAUUUACGUUGCGAUUUUCCGCGGUGUAUUUUGGGGUAAACGACUUUAUAUAAUUAUGUGUGUGUUUUCUUUUUGUACGAAAGACGUGUCGAAAACGAAUUCUAAUGUUUAGAAAAGAGUUAAAAAUACACUCGGCUAGGUGUAAAGAGGCUGUUGAUUGUAAGUUUCCUACUUGUCGUAAGUUAAGAUUUCUAUUUGUAUGAAUUUGUUAAAAAAAUAUUGUUGAAAAUAAAGAGGUUGGAAAGCAGCAUG